GUGGGUGUAGCUCAAAUGGUCAGAGUGCCGGGUUGUGGCCCCGUAGGCUGAGGGUUCGAGUCCCUCCACUCACCCCA
rnacentral:tRNA from 1 species